rnacentral:rRNA from 1 species
UACGAAGGGGGCUAGCGUUGCUCGGAAUCACUGGGCGUAAAGCGCACGUAGGCGGCUUUCUAAGUCAGGGGUGAAAUCCUGGAGCUCAACUCCAGAACUGCCUUUGAUACUGGAGAGCUAGAGUCCGGAAGAGGUGAGUGGAACUGCGAGUGUAGAGGUGAAAUUCGUAGAUAUUCGCAAGAACACCAGUGGCGAAGGCGGCUCACUGGUCCGGUACUGACGCUGAGGUGCGAAAGCGUGGGGAGCAAACCGG